rnacentral:rRNA from 1 species
AGUGAACGCUGGCGGUAGGCCUAACACAUGCAAGUCGAACGGCAGCACAGUAAGAGCUUGCUCUUACGGGUGGCGAGUGGCGGACGGGUGAGGAAUACAUCGGAAUCUACUUUUUCGUGGGGGAUAACGUAGGGAAACUUACGCUAAUACCGCAUACGACCUACGGGUGAAAGCAGGGGAUCUUCGGACCUUGCGCGAUUGAAUGAGCCGAUGUCGGAUUAGCUAGUUGGCGGGGUAAAGGCCCACCAAGGCGACGAUCCGUAGCUGGUCUGAGAGGAUGGUCAGCGACACUGGAACUGAGACACGGUCCAGACUCCUACGGGAGGCAGCAGUGGGGAAUAUUGGACAAUGGGCGCAAGCCUGAUCCAGCCAUACCGCGUGGGUGAAGAAGGCCUUCGGGUUGUAAAGCCGUUUUGUUGGGAAAGAAAAGCAGCAGGUUAAUACCCCGCUGUUCUGACGGUACCCAAAGAAUAAGCACCGGCUAACUUCGUG